rnacentral:misc_RNA from 1 species
AGCGGAACUCCUGAAAGAAACCAAAACGAUGGGAGAGGGCCGCAUCCGUUGUUACUACGAGGUGCUCGAGGUGGAGCGGAAGGCCACCUAUGAUGAGAUCCGCGCCGCCUACAAAAAGAAGUCCCUCCAGUAUCACCCCGACAAGAACUACGGCAAUCAAGAGGAGGCCGCUAUGCGUUUCAAAGAGGUUCAAAACGCCUACUCAAUCCUUAGCGACGCCGACGAGCGGGCAUGGUACGACUCCCAUCGCGAGGCGAUCCUGCGGGGUGGCGAUGGCACCGGUGACCCGGACGAAUUGAACCUGUACGAGUACUUCACUGCAGGCUGCUUCGACGGCUUCGACGACAGUGAAAGCGGGUUCUACGCCGUCUACCGCAAGGUGUUCGACAUGCUUAUCGAGGAGGAGUCCGACUACGACUCCCGCGCAAAGUUGUGGCCGGGCUUCGGCACGAGCACGAGCGACUGGGCGGAUGUUCAGAAGUUCUACGGACACUGGCGUAACUUCAGCACAUACAAGACAUUCACUUGGAAGGAUGAAUACAAGGUGAACGAGAUGGAGGAUCGCUACUCCCGCCGCAUGGCUGGCCGCAUCAACAGCAAGGCGCGCGACGGGGCCAAAAAAGAGUACGUGCGCACUGUGCAAAGCCUCGCUCAGUUCGUCUACCGCCGCGACCCGCGUGUGAAGGCGGAGCUAGAGCGCCAGGAGGAGGAGGAGCAAGCGAAGCGCGAGGAGCGUGAGAGGCAGGAGAUCGAACGUCUGAAGCGGCGUCGCGAGGCGAACGAACGCGUGUGGGCUGAGGCUGCGGAGCGCGAGGCCCGCGAGGAGGCAGAGCGGGCGGCACGAGGCGAGGCCAUGGAUGGGUCGAUAUUGGAGAUGCUGUAUGAAAAGGAGCGGCAAACGAAGGAGAUGAUGCGUGGCAACGGCGGCGUCGGCGCGCACACGGCCGGCUUUGCCAUGCUAGGAGGGGACGAUGAUGAAGUGGUGACGGUGUUCAACUGCCCCGCGUGCAAAAAGCAGUUCAAGUCCGAAAACCAAUACAAGGAGCACGUUCGUAGCAACAAGCAUAAGACAAAGCUGAAGCAGUUGGCCGCCAAGGGCACGGAUGUGGCUGCGCUCAUGGGCGAGAAGGUAGAGGGCAGCAGUGGCGGCACGGAGGAGUGAGGUGUGUUUGCGUGGCCGCUCGUUUGCCAGGUGACUCGCUCUUUCUUGUUUUGUGGCGCAUGUGGUGAGAUGGACAUAUGCGUGCCGCCGCUGUCGCGCGGGUGUUCAAGAAGCAACUCUCUGCUCUUUCUCCGCGAGGAAGUGAUGACCGGCGACAACUGCGUGCCCUCUCUCCUGAAGGUAACCACGGUCUGCAUAAUGCGAUUAAAGCACACGCACACGCGAAUGCGAAGCAUUUCUGUUUCUGCUUAACAUUCUCUUUAACACUGAAGUUAACGCAAUCAGGUUCGCGCCUUUUUCUUCUGUUGUCCUGCGUAUGUGCAACACAUGUACACCGCCAUACACAUUCGCAAGUGCCCUCCAAAGGCUGCCCACUGCUUUUUCCCCUUCCCCCACACGUCUGCAAACCUACGCACCCGUACGCAGACGUAAUCGGGUGCCAAAAAUGGGCUCCGUGACCUGGUGAAAGAGGGAUGCGUGGGAGGAGAGACCUUUGACGCAAUACGACACUGUGGUGCCGCCUCUUGUCUUUUUCUCUCUCUGUCCCCGUCUGCGCGCUGCCGGCCCUUGCUCCCCCAGUCAACUGCUUGCGCUCAUGCCAGACACCUGUUGAAGUGCUCGGGCGAAAAGCUAUUUUUCUUCUCUUUCUUCCGUUGUUGUCUUCCUCACGAACGCCCUCCCCCCGCGCCCCCCCCGCACAAAUGCAACGACGCGCUGCACAG